rnacentral:rRNA from 1 species
AAUCAACGCUGGCGGCGUGCCUAACACAUGCAAGUCGAACGCGAAAGCCCCUUCGGGGGCAAGUAGAGUGGCGUCCGGGUGAGUAACACGUGGGUAAUCUACCUCCGGGUGGGGAAUAACUCGCCGAAAGGCGGGCUAAUACCGCAUAAUGCAGCGGCACCGAAUGGUGAAUUAGUUGUUAAAAGCGGGGGACCUUAGGGCCUCGCGUCUGGAGAGGAGCCUGCGGCAGAUUAGCUUGUUGGUAGGGAAUGGCCUACCAAGGCUGCGAUCUGUAGCUGGUCUGAGAGGACGGCCAGCCACACUGGCACUGACACACGGGCCAGACUCCUACGGAGGCAGCAGUGGGAAUUUUGGGCAAAUGGGCGAAAGCCUGACCCAGCAACGCCGCGUGAAGGAGGAAA